GGCAAGAUGGCCGAGCGGUCUAAGGCGCCGCACUCAAGAUUCAUGUGUCUUUCCCAUUGGGUGGGAUCCUAAUUGCGGUCUCGCAAGAGGCGGGGGUUCGAAUCCCCCUCUUGUCA